rnacentral:rRNA from 1 species
UACGAACUGUGCAAACGUUGUUCGGAAUUACUGGGCGUAAAGGGCUCGUAGGUGGCCAACUAAGUCAGACGUGAAAUCCCUCGGCUUAACCGGGGAACUGCGUCUGAUACUGGAUGGCUUGAGUUUGGGAGAGGGAUGCGGAAUUCCAGGUGUAGCGGUGAAAUGCGUAGAUAUCUGGAGGAACACCGGUGGCGAAGGCGGCAUCCUGGACCAACACUGACACUGAGGAGCGAAAGCCAGGGGAGCAAACGGG